CCUGCUGCUUCAGACCCUUCCCCAGCUCUGUUUUCUUCUCUGGAUUCACUCCAGCACCUCAAUGUCCUUCUUGAAAUGAGUGGCGCAGACACCGUACUUGCUCCUUCAGAUACCAGAACCUUCUCUCCUCCAAGCUGAACAGCCCCAACUUUCUCAACCUGACUUCACAGAGAAGGCGUUCCUGAUGAAAUUGGUGGCCUCCUCUGGACUUGCUCCAGCAGUUCCAUGUCCUUCUCCUGUUGGGCACCCCAGAGCUGGAUGCAGCACUGCAGAGUGGAAGCACGAAGAAGCUGCAGGUGUGAUGCUGAAUGGGGAUGGAAGGUUAAUUAAAAAUGUCCACAGAAAAGCCAGGAGUACUCAUUGGCCUCUUCACAUCAGUCAUCAUGGGUGCGAUCAGAUCCCAGGUCUCUACACUGAAAUGUGGAAGUUCAUUUAAGGACCAUCUCCACAAACUGGACAGCUAUAGAUACCUUCCUCAGUUUCAAGGGGAAAAAAAGAAUCACCAUGAGAGUAGUUAGCCAUGGGAGCCAGGAAAGAGGUGGACUUUUCUUGAUGAAAGUAUUCAAGACACAGUUUGACAGAAAAUGGAGAUCUAAUCUAGGGCACUGCUUUCCAUGGAAGUUUGAAGUCCCCUUUGAAUCUGGACCUUUAUGUAAUUUUUAUGGUCAUGUCUGGUUUCUGCAGAAGAAAUACAGGGAAAAAUAAGUAGUCUGAUUAUAAACAUGUUGUACAUUUCAUGUGGUGACUUUAAUAAACGCUUGUACUUUGCUCAUCUCUUCAGCUUAAACUUUAUUUCACUUUUUCUUGCAUCUCUGCCUGUGCAGUCCCCUCUGAACUAAAGAUCACAGAAGUUGCUGUGGAGAGAGAGGUUUGAUUCCCCAAAACACUGAAAUUUUUAUUCUGAAUUAUUUGCUCAUAAUGUUCAAGCUUUGGCUUCUGUCAUUAGCUCUUAACCUCUGUUUAAGGGUCAGUGGAAAAACACUUUUCCUUAAUGAUAAAACUUUGUUGUAAUUUCUGGUAUUUGCAGUUACUCACCAGGUUGUGCCUUACAGAGUGAGAUAUGAUAACUUCUUCACAGCUCCCACUUGAAUAAUUUCCACUUUGUUGCUCUGUUGUUUUGGUACACCCGUCUCUGCUUUUUGGAAAGCUUUUGUGCUGCCUCACAGAAAGG